AUACAGAGGGUGCGAGCGUUAAUCGGAAUUACUGGGCGUAAAGCGCGCGUAGGCGGAUAUUUAAGUCUCAUGUGAAAGCCCUGGGCUCAACCUGGGAACUGCAUGGGAUACUGGGUAUCUAGAAUACAGUAGAGGGUAGUGGAAUUUCAGGUGUAGCGGUGAAAUGCGUAGAGAUCUGAAGGAACAUCAGUGGCGAAGGCGACUACCUGGACUGAUAUUGACGCUGAGGUGCGAAAGCGUGGGGAGCAAACGGGAUUAGAAACCCGAGUAGUCC
rnacentral:rRNA from 1 species